UACGUAGGGCGCAAGCGUUGUCCGGAAUUAUUGGGCGUAAAGAGCUCGUAGGUGGUUUGUCGCGUUGUCCGUGAAAACUCACAGCUUAACUGUGGGCGUGCGGGCGAUACGGGCAGACUGGAGUACUGCAGGGGAGACUGGAAUUCCUGGUGUAGCGGUGGAAUGCGCAGAUAUCAGGAGGAACACCGGUGGCGAAGGCGGGUCUCUGGGCAGUAACUGACGCUGAGGAGCGAAAGCGUGGGGAGCGAACAGG
rnacentral:rRNA from 1 species